CCUUCGGGUGAGCGGCGGACGGGUGAGUAACGCGUGGGAAUGUGCCCUUUGGUACGGAACAACUGAGGGAAACUUCAGCUAAUACCGUAUGUGCCCUUCGGGGGAAAGAUUUAUCGCCAUUGGAGCAGCCCGCGUUGGAUUAGGUAGUUGGUGAGGUAAAGGCUCACCAAGCCUACGAUCCAUAGCUGGUCUGAGAGGAUGAUCAGCCACAUUGGGACUGAGACACGGCCCAA
rnacentral:rRNA from 1 species